CAGACAACAGCUUGUGCAUUCUCAUAUCCACAGCUGAUGGCUGUCACAUAGCUUGAGUGUCUCCACUGCCAUCUCCACAGCUGAUGGGCAUCUCAGAGGACCCUGAGAUGGCGGCUGUUUUGUUAGCUUGGAGAGAAAGCCUGCACCCUCACAGCAGGAAGCAUUUGCAAGGAAGGAAGAUUACAGAGACAGCAAGAGAAAACAUAGUGAACAGAUGUCAAACCACUCCAUGGGAAAAAGGAGGAAGAACAAAAGCUAUGCUGUGGGAUCCAAGACCUGGUCACUCGUGGCUCCCUGUGACUUGUAAGGAGGAGCGGGGGAAGGUCUAAGACCCAUCAUAAGAGGGACAGGAGCAGAGAAGAGCAUCAAGGGGAGAAUGAAGACAAUGAUCCAAGGUCCAGAGAAAGGAGGGGAAUUCUAGGCCUAAUUCAUAGCAACAGGGUCCUUUCCCACACUUGUAGUGCAUGCAGGUGUUGAUGGAGAGCCUGGUCCAUUCUUUCAAUGGAUAUUAAGGUGUGCUUGAACACUGGCCUGUGUAGAAGGGAAGGGCCAGGGGCAGUCCUUUACACACAUCUUUUCCUGGCUUUUCCUUGAGGUCAAGUGCAUGGGUCAGCCUCUGAAGGAGACUCCUGAACUCCUCUAAUAGCCUUGGUUACCACCUCCUUGCAUGUGCUUACCCAGCUGUGGCCAUCCUGUGUGUAGCUGUCUUGAGACCAGGAGUUCAAAGAAGAGGUUCUGUCCCAAGUACUAGAAUCAUCUUACACAAUGGGGAUUGCCAAUAAAUAUUCUCUAGAUGACUUUGAAAAUUCAAAAAUAUUUGUCAAACAUGAAAUUCAUAUGGAUAGCCAAUGGGCACUCAGUAUAUUCAUGUUUGGAUUUAUUUACCCACACAGCACAUUGAGGAAUCUUAGUGGCUUAUCUGACUCUCUUGGCUUAUGAUUUUAAUGUCUAUUUCUGACCCACUGGCUUAUGUAUGACAUCUUAUUGGGAUUUAUCAAUGAACUUGCCAUUUGUGAACAUUAUCUGUUUCAUUUUAGCCCUGUUCGGUUCUUGUCUUUCGCGCAUGCUAUCAUC